rnacentral:rRNA from 1 species
UACGUAGGGGGCUAGCGUUGUCCGGAUUUAUUGGGCGUAAAGAGCGUGUAGGCGGCCAGGUAGGUCUGCUGUGAAAACUCGAGGCUCAACCUCGAGACGUCGGCGGAAACCAUCUGGCUAGAGUCCGGAAGAGGAGAGUGGAAUUCCUGGUGUAGCGGUGAAAUGCGCAGAUAUCAGGAAGAACACCCGCGGCGAAGGCGGCUCUCUGGGACGGUACUGACGCUGAGACGCGAAAGCGUGGGGAGCGAGCAGG